rnacentral:rRNA from 1 species
AUUGAACGCUGGCGGCAGGCCUAACACAUGCAAGUCGAGCGGUAGCACAGAGAGCUUGCUCUCGGGUGACGAGCGGCGGACGGGUGAGUAAUGUCUGGGAAACUGCCUGAUGGAGGGGGAUAACUACUGGAAACGGUAGCUAAUACCGCAUAACGUCGCAAGACCAAAGUGGGGGACCUUCGGGCCUCAUGCCAUCAGAUGUGCCCAGAUGGGAUUAGCUAGUAGGUGGGGUAAUGGCUCACCUAGGCGACGAUCCCUAGCUGGUCUGAGAGGAUGACCAGCCACACUGGAACUGAGACACGGUCCAGACUCCUACGGGAGGCAGCAGUGGGGAAUAUUGCACAAUGGGCGCAAGCCUGAUGCAGCCAUGCCGCGUGUAUGAAGAAGGCCUUCGGGUUGUAAAGUACUUUCAGCGAGGAGGAAGGCGUUAAGGUUAAUAACCUUGGUGAUUGACGUUACUCGCAGAAGAAGCACCGGCUAACUCCGUGCCAGCAGCCGCGGUAAUACGGAGGGUGCAAGCGUUAAUCGGAAUUACUGGGCGUAAAGCGCACGCAGGCGGUCUGUCAAGUCGGAUGUGAAAUCCCCGGGCUCAACCUGGGAACUGCAUUCGAAACUGGCAGGCUAGAGUCUUGUAGAGGGGGGUAGAAUUCCAGGUGUAGCGGUGAAAUGCGUAGAGAUCUGGAGGAAUACCGGUGGCGAAGGCGGCCCCCUGGACAAAGACUGACGCUCAGGUGCGAAAGCGUGGGGAGCAAACAGGAUUAGAUACCCUGGUAGUCCACGCCGUAAACGAUGUCGACUUGGAGGUUGUGCCCUUGAGGCGUGGCUUCCGGAGCUAACGCGUUAAGUCGACCGCCUGGGGAGUACGGCCGCAAGGUUAAAACUCAAAUGAAUUGACGGGGGCCCGCACAAGCGGUGGAGCAUGUGGUUUAAUUCGAUGCAACGCGAAGAACCUUACCUACUCUUGACAUCCAGAGAACUUAGCAGAGAUGCUUUGGUGCCUUCGGGAACUCUGAGACAGGUGCUGCAUGGCUGUCGUCAGCUCGUGUUGUGAAAUGUUGGGUUAAGUCCCGCAACGAGCGCAACCCUUAUCCUUUGUUGCCAGCGGUCCGGCCGGGAACUCAAAGGAGACUGCCAGUGAUAAACUGGAGGAAGGUGGGGAUGACGUCAAGUCAUCAUGGCCCUUACGAGUAGGGCUACACACGUGCUACAAUGGCAUAUACAAAGAGAAGCGACCUCGCGAGAGCAAGCGGACCUCAUAAAGUAUGUCGUAGUCCGGAUUGGAGUCUGCAACUCGACUCCAUGAAGUCGGAAUCGCUAGUAAUCGUAGAUCAGAAUGCUACGGUGAAUACGUUCCCGGGCCUUGUACACACCGCCCGUCACACCAUGGGAGUGGGUUGCAAAAGAAGUAGGUAGCUUAACCUUCGG